GGGCCCGCACAAGCGGUGGAGCAUGUGGCUUAAUUCGAGGCAACGCGAAGAACCUUACCUGGUCUUGACAUGCCCGUCAUAGUUUUCCGAAAGGAAUUCGUCAGUUCGGCUGGACGGUGCACAGGUGCUGCAUGGCUGUCGUCAGCUCGUGUCGUGAGAUGUUCGUUAAGUCCGGCAACGAGCGCAACCCUCGUUUCCAGUUGCCAGCGGGUAAUGCCGGGGACUCUGGAAAGACAAACCUCUUGUUGAGGUGGGAAGGUGGGGACGACGUCAAGUCAGUAUGGCCCUUACGACCAGGGCUGCACACGUGCUACAAUGCCCGGCACAAUGGGCAGCAAGUUCGCGAGGACAAGCA
rnacentral:rRNA from 1 species